rnacentral:rRNA from 1 species
UACGGAGGAUCCAAGCGUUAUCCGGAUUUAUUGGGUUUAAAGGGUGCGUAGGCGGCUUAUUAAGUCAGGGGUGAAAGACGGUGGCUCAACCAUCGCAGUGCCCUCGAUACUGAUGAGCUUGAAUACACUUGAGGUAGGCGGAAUGUGACAAGUAGCGGUGAAAUGCAUAGAUAUGUCACAGAACACCAAUUGCGAAGGCAGCUUACUAAGGUGCAAUUGACGCUGAGGCACGAAAGCGUGGGGAUCAAACAGG